GAGAGGGCUUGAUCCGACAGCUCGUGCACACGUUCCCUCUCAACCCAGAUUCACAGACAGCAAGUCAAGCUCUGAGCUCUGCAGGCUCAGUGACUCUUGGUCUCCAGUGUUGGGGGGCACAGAGGAAUUAUCAGAACUGCUCAAAUCCAGCCCAGGAAUUGAUUUCCAGAUCAAGCAAGAAGAGAUUGACUACCCAUGCAAUGGGGGCUUUCAUUAGUCCAGUGGACUCACCUCCAACCCCAACAGUGCAUGAAGGAGAAAUUAAUUUUCGUUUAACUUAGUGACAGUACAGCCGUAUAUAUAUAGUAGCUAAAUUAGCUGCAACUAUGACUUAAUUCACUAUAGAUGCAAAUGUAUAUUUUUCUCAAUAUGAACCAAUUUAAAC